AGUGUGUCAACAAACAUUCGAAUGACAGUCAUCAAACUCAAAUCUGGAGGAUUAUGGGUCCAUGCACCUAUUGCUCCAACCAACGAGUGUAUUCAGCUUGUGAAGGAGUUGGAGGCUCCAGUAGAAUACAUUGUCCUGCCUACAUUUGCUUAUGAGCAUAAAAUUUUUGUUGGCCCAUUUUCAAGAAAAUUUCCACGGGCCCAAAUAUGGGUGGCACCAAGGCAAUGGAGUUGGCCAUUGAAUUUGCCACUUGAAUUUUUUGGGAUUUUUCGUGCCAAAACCUUAACAGAUGAAGAUUUGUCUACCCCAUGGGCUGAUGAGAUCGAACAAAAAGUUUUAAGCUCACCAGAAGUUGGAAUUGGAC
rnacentral:misc_RNA from 1 species